GCCUAGUUAGCUUAGUUAGUUGGUAGUGCGUCUGCCUUGUAAGCGCUAGGCCGCGGGUUCGAUUCCUGCCCGGGGCG
rfam:Asian citrus Psyllid, Diaphorina citri - Florida Strain, whole genome shotgun sequence.